rnacentral:rRNA from 1 species
UACGGGAGGCAGCAGUGGGGGAAUAUUGCACAAUGGGCGCAAGCCUGAUGCAGCCAUGCCGCGUGUAUGAAGAAGGCCUUCGGGUUGUAAAGUACUUUCAGUCGUGAGGAAGGUGUUAAGGUUAAUAACCUUAGCAAUUGACGUUAGCGACAGAAGAAGCACCGGCUAACUCCGUGCCAGCAGCCGCGGUAAUACGGAGGGUGCGAGCGUUAAUCGGAAUUACUGGGCGUUAAAGGGCACGCAGGCGGUUAAUUAAGUUGGAUGUGAAAUCCCCGGGCUUAACCUGGGAAUGGCAUUCAAGACUGGUUAGCUAGAGUCUUGUAGAGGGGGUAGAAUUCCAUGUGUAGCGGUGAAAUGCGUAGAGAUGUGGAGGAAUACCGGUGGCGAAGGCGGCCCCUGGACAAAGACUGACGCUCAUGUGCGAAAGCGUGGGGAGCAAACAGGGAUUAGAUACC